CGCAGCCAGCUGCGAGAUUUGGUGUGAAUUGCAGGACACAUUGAGCACUGAUUUUUCGAACGCACAUUGCGGCCUCGGGUUCUGCCCGGGGCCUCGCCUGUCUGAGGGUCGGAUAAGACUUGCAAAGGAAAUUCAUUUUUCCAAUUGGCCGCGUCGGAGUCCCCCACCAUGGACUUCGUCGGCUCAAGUAUCCGAUGGAUCCUCCCCGGUCGAAGAGAGCACAAGGCCCUAGUGCAUGCUCGUCGCUCGGAGAAGACGGAACACGUUUCUCCACGAAGACGAGACGGCCCAGAUUGUGCCGAGAAGACCGGCAAAGGAGGCGUCCCGUAGACGCACGGAAACCGGCGUCUCCGAAGGCUAAUCUUUAUUGACGACCUCAGAUCAGACGAGAUGACCCGCUGAAUUUAAGCAUAUC
rnacentral:rRNA from 1 species